CCAGAAUCGUCGUCUGACGUGGAACUUCGCUGGCACCCAAAGGCGAGUUUGCUCAUUUUGGGCUCCAUCUCCAAAGGCAUAACAAUCAAGUUAAAAGCCGUUUUCUCAGUCACAGGACAUCAAACAGUGGCCGCUCCAGAAAAAAAGCCUCGCGCCGCCUCCCAGCGCAGCGUCACCUCCAAGGAACAGCACUCGCCCCGCGGCUGGACAGCGGUGCCGAGUGGCCGCCGGUCCCCGCGUCUCUCCCGGAGCCUCCGAC